GUGAGCACAAUCGCCGCCGUCCUGGUUCGCACAGCAACGGCACUGCCAGUGGGUUUAUGCGUGCAACUGCAAGCAAAAUGGCGAAAUAGAUGCACCCGGACACACACACACGCGCGCAGUGAGGGAAAAUUUGUACAGGGACAGUGCUGACUAAUUUUAAACAGCACUACUUCUCAUCUAAUACCGAUUGAAAUGCAAACUUUUGUUCUAAAUGGCCAUCAAAAAUAUGCUUUUGGUGCAAUAUCUUAUUUUUAAAUAACCAUUUGACCAAACGAUUUUAUCUCCAACCAAUAAUAAAGCAUUCAAUAUUUUAAUUUA